UGGAAAAAGAGAGAGAGAGAGAGGGAGAUGGGGGAACCAUUUGGACAGAGUUUGAAAUGAAGUAGGUGAGGACUAUUCAGCAGCGCUAUCUAUGAAGGUUAGUCACCUCCCUGAGCGUGAUCUCAAACAGUUUUCCUGAGGCAAGAGCCUGAAUUCAAGUUGUCAAGAGUGGAGUGCAGAAGAAGAUUGCUUUUUUCUCUCCAUUCUGCUGUUCAGAUUGCCUAUGGUAAAGGGACUUGUGUUUUGUCCAGCAUGAAGCCUUUCUUUCUUGUGCUGUGUUCUGGUGGUGUGAUUCUUUUAGCUUCCCUAUGACUUGCAAGGUUCUCCAAGCUGUCUGUGUUGUCCUUAGAACAACACAGUGGCAGAUGGCUUGUUUCCAUGGCAAGUCCUUUAUCCUUUUCUUCUUUUCAAUGCUGUUGGAAAAAAAUGGGGUUCUUUGACUCUGUUCUUUGGGCCAUUUUGAGUCAGGAGCUCUAGUGCCAAAGCGGUUGUCCUUCCCAGAGCAGCGUCAUUCUGUGACAGCUCCUUUUGCUGUGGAGAUUGCUGCAAGAACUUGUGUUCACGUGUCUCAUGACCUUCUCCACUGCUGUCAAGGUGGCUGCCUUUCCAUUUCUGGUGGAUGGAGGUCUGCAGUUCAGCUUGUAUGUGAAAAGGGACUGAACUGAAAAGAUUGGACUGACUGAGUGAGUGGCUGGUUGGCAGUAGCUGUUCUGCCUGACUCAUCCCUCUGAAAUAGAACUUGAGUAGAGAGGAGAGGCUUGUGGUGCAUGAGGAGUUGUUGUUUCAAGGUUCUGAAGGCUGCUCCAUGCUUCAGUCCAUUCUGUUCUGUUGAAGUCUCUCUUCAUCAGGUAGAUGUAGGUGUGCUGGGACACCUGAGGUCUUGUCCUACUUGCUUUACUUGUUCUGCAGGUGAUCUUCUUCCUCACCUAAAAGGUGGUGUGAGCCAUUCAGAAUGUAGACCACGAGCUAAGUGUGAGGUGCUGUUGGAUGCAGAGCUCUCCUUCGUUCUUUCCAGGGAUGGCAUUCUGCUUUGAAGUCAUUUUUCAAUGAAAGGGGUCCUCCUUUGGCCCAGCUUUCAAGUCAGGCUGUGCGGUUCCUGUGCUGUCCCAGGUGACAGCGAUGUCUGUACUGCGUGUUUAGCUGCAGAGCGGAUGUCCCUGGCAUGACUUUGCUGAACCCUGUGCAGACAGGGAGAUGAAGCCCUGGGAAAGCCUUGGGGGGAUGUGACGUGCUGCUGCCAUGAGUGUCACUGAGCUGUUGUCUCUGCAUGCAGCCAGCACUGCAGAAUAGCAGUGUCCCCUUUGGACUGGCACAGAAGCACCUGCUGUUUGAUUGCCUGAGUGAGGUGGUGAGGCCAGGCUUCGGCCAGCCAAGGCAUCCCUGGAUCCCCUCACGGGGUCAGCUGUCAUGCUCACGUAUCAGGCGGCAGAAGGGGCAUAUGCGCGCUGCCAUCGUGGAUGCGUGCGGUCAGCAAGCUGUGGAGAAGCUGCAGGAGGCUGCUGAGCAGCAACCGGGGGAUUCUCCACCCAGAGUCCACCAGAUGGCGCUGUCAGUCUCCCCCGUUCCUGCCGCCGCAGCCGGUGUCCCCGGUGGGACAGGUGGCCCUGCAGCAGGUGGCCUGUUUGGAAGCGUCUGCGCGUGCAGAGCUAGGAAGACGCUACCUCCUGAAAGAGGAGAAGAGCAGCAAGACCUGUGACAGCAGCAUCAGGCAGCAGAGAGCCCCGUCAGUCUCAUCAGCUCUGAGUUCCCCGAGUCCUGCUCGCGUCUGCCGUUCACGAUGAUGGAGAAGUCCCCACUGCCUGAUGUGAGAUCCAACCUCAUUGCUGCAGCAGGAGAUCUAGCCAUCCGCUUCUGGGACCUGCUGGAGCCUUGGACAUCACCUCUCUGUGCCAGGGUCAUGCUGUCUACCACCUGAUUCCAGGCAUCAUCAGACACCUCUGGGAUCCUAACGGUGGCCUCGAGGAGGAAUCCUUCCACGCUAUGAUGAGACAUCUGCUCUCCUUUCUUCCAAAAGGGAAAUGAACACAGAGCUCUGUGGAGGAAGUUUGUCCGAGAUUCCGCACUGCCAGGUGAGUUGUCACGUUCCUUUCCCUGCCAAGUGCUUGUGCUUCUGCUUCUCAGGAUUUAUCAUAAGAUAUGAGCUUGUAUGUGGUCGUUGUCCACGUGAGAAAUGCACCAUGACUUGGUUUAGGUCUCCCUUUUUCUUCAAGUCCUGUGUCCUAGCACUGCAGGAGUCCAUGUAACUGAAGGUUUCUGGUUUGAUUCUGCAGUGGCUGACCUGCUCUAUCUUUCU